CAUUAAGUGGCUGAAAUGUUAAGCAAUGGUCUCUUAAACCACUAAAUAGUAAACUCACAAAUACUCUUAAUG